GUCUAUGGCCAUACCACCCUGAACACACCCGAUCUCAUCUAAUCUUGGAAGCUAAGCAAGAUAUGGCAUGGUUAGUACUUGGAUGUGAAAAACAACCUUAUUUACCCUGUUCC
rnacentral:rRNA from 1 species